GGAAGCAAGAUGGCGGCCGCCGAGAGGGUUCACAAAGGGUAGGGUGGUGUGGAGCAAGGCAGGGUCCUCGCAGGCAGUGCCAAGAUUGAGCUGGGGGUGGGCAGAGUGGGCGGGGUGCGGACCCAUGGCCCUACGCAUCCUGGGCCAGGUCUCUUGUGGUGCUUCACGCUCUCGACCUGUGAGUGGUGCCUGCUAGAGCUGCCCAGAUCCCUUUUCCCUACCCCUUCUGACCCUGGACCCAGAGUGGUGGUUGCGAUCUGCUACCGUGACGUCAGCCCUCAUUCGUUCGUUCCACAAACUCCACAGCUCUGGUCCAUUAGAGGAAGGAGGUCCCAGAAUAGCUGGGAAAUUACGAGAACAGCCUCACUGCACGAGUUGGUGAAUGCUGUGAUGGCGAUUGUAUGAUGGACGGUGAUGUUGAAACCAGACUGGGGAAUGACCGCCCCAUCCGGAGAGAAAAGCACCAAGGAUUCUCUUUUGUUGAAUUUGAGUUGGCAGAGUUUGGUCAGAUGAAGACUGGGUGGAGAAGUUUGCUGGGAAGAGGAUAAAGAGGAAGGUGGUUGAGACUUCCCAAAGCAGAAAGCCAGGAGGGAGAGCCCACUGCUAAAAAAGGCCUAGUCAAAUCCUCAGGUGUACAUGGACAUCAAGAUUGGGAACAAGCCGGCUGGCUGCAUCCAAACCCUCCUGCGUUCCGACGUCGUGCCCAUGACCACAGAGAAUUUUCUCUACAUGUGCACCCAUUUAAAGGACUCGGCUUCAAGGGAAGCAGCUUCCACCGCAUUAUCCCCCAGUUCAUUUGCCAGGGCAGUGAUUUCACAAACCACGGUGGCACCAGGGGUCUGCGCAGGCAUGGCACUAAGUGUCCCAUGGCACAUUUGGCCCUCAUGGAGGCCUCAAAAGGGCAGGACCAGCACCCUCUUCUACGGAGGAAGGAACGGGCACAGCAGAAACAAGGAGAGUCAGCAAUUACCAGCCAGCCAAGGUCCUGGAAGCUGACGUAGAGCUCGUGCCGACGGCAGACCUGCCGGCCGUGGGAGCCGCGGACGUCAUCUGCAGGGACAGAAGGGGCAAGGUCUUUUCUGGGGUUCCUGCUGUGUGCAGCUACUAUGGGGUACCAGGGUGGGGGAUGCCCUGAUGAGCACAUUUGUCAAAUAAAUGAAUGACAGGAAACCA
ensembl:lncRNA PPIEL peptidylprolyl isomerase E like (pseudogene)